AUAUAUCUAGGCAAAUUGCCUAGAAGUGAAUCCCCUCUCCUGCUUAAGUCCUUCCCACAGAGAGCGGUUUGAUAUGUCACUGAAACCAGCAUCCAGGUGGUAUUGCUCCAUAUGCCUGAGACCCUAACAAAAGCCUAAUUACAACUCAUAUGCCUGGAGCCAGGACAUGUGCAGGAUGACUCUGCCAAGAGAGGGGAUUAUUACAUAUUGCAGAGCCCAGCACCUAGGUGGAGUGACUCUCAUCUUUUUCUUCUACCCCGUAUAUAGCCAGCUUGGUGACCUACUAUUUGAGUCUAUACCCAGGCCCAGACCACAGAUGAAAUUGUGCAAUAUGUGGAACAAACACCUAAACAAUAUAUAACACCUUCCUUGGCUCUGUCUACAAAGGGCACUUUUAUAUAUCACUGGGACCAUCAACCAGGUGAUGUUAAUUAUCUUCCUGAAACCUGUCUACAAAGAGAGUUGUGUCGUAUACCUAGGCCCGUCAUGUGAUGUUGUGCCAUAUAACUGAGACCGUAUCAAAAGCCUAAUAACAAGACGUAUGUCUGGAGCCCCGAUAUGCACAGGAUGGUGAUAUAACCCUCUUCUCUGGAAUGGGCCCCACACAAAGGAAGGAUAGUGACAUAUUGCAAGCCCAGGCACACAGGCCCAGAGCACAGUUGAAAUUGUGACAUAUGUACACCAAGCAACCAAGCAAUGUAUAACACCUCAUUUGGCAAUGGAAUCGAGGGCACUUUUACAUAUCACUGAGACCAGCGCCCAGCUGAUGUGAAAUAUUGGCCUGAACCCUGCCUACAAAAGCAUUGUGGCUUUUAUCUAGCUCCAUUACAUAAGUGAUGUGACUUCCUUCUACUGCCUUGGCCCUGCACUUAUGGUGAAUCGUGACACAAAAUUGGGUAGAGCAACCAGCCUGGGCCCUGACCAGCACAGAGAUUGAGGCAUAUUGCUGAACCCAGGACCAAGAUGAAGUCACUCUCCUGCCUUGAUCCUGCACACAGGGACCCUUGUGACAUAUAUACAGGCCAAUUGCCUAGGUAAA
rnacentral:lncRNA from 1 species